AUGAUCCAGCUGCAGUUUACUCAGCAGUGAAAACAACAGAAGACGUCAGUUAUGGACAAAUAGUCAUCAAAUCAAACAGGAAGAGAGAGAAUGAUCCAGCUGCAGUUUACUCAGCAGUGAAAAGAGCAGAAGACGUCAGUUAUGGACAAAUAGUCGUCAAAUCAAACAUGAAGAGAGUGUCUCCAUUAGAGCCAGAGGUUGUCUACUCUUCACUGAGGUAGACCUCCACACCUUCACACCAGUCCAACCACUGACGUCCAGCUGGCCUGUUACUGGUCUCCAGAGCCCCUCAGACAGUAGUACAUUCAUUUAUAUAGUUUAUAUAGUUCAUGUUGUACUCACUAAAUUACACUCAGACAGCAACAGAAAAACAAACAGAUUCAUUUUCAGAUGUUUUAGUGAAUAAACAGUCAUCAAAAACACUGUUGCAAAACUUUGCAACAGGUGGGUUGGUGACGUAGCCUCAGAGCGAUCACACUGUCUUUACUUGCUCAACACAA